rnacentral:rRNA from 1 species
GGGUGCGAUCAUAUCAGCACUAAAACACCGAAUUCC